AACGAUAGAGGUGUCCAGGCAGGGCCUCGAUAAAUUCAGCCAGUAUCUGUCCUGAUCUCGUAGACUGCAGUAGAGCUUUCUGUCCUAGAUCUCUCAGUCCCUUUUGAGAACAAGACGUGACAACAUUUGGCUCGAUUUUGACUUAGUAUUUUCUGGGCGUCGAUCGAGGCAAGAUGGAAUCUCUCCAGCUGACUUUAGGCCUAGUGAUCUUGAGUUUCUGGUGUGUGACUGCAAGCCCCACCCCAAACGGAACGGUACCACCUUUCACCAUUCAACCAAGAUGGAACUCCGAGACUCUGGUGGCCAACUUCAGUGUACCACCUUUCACCAUUCAACCAAGAUGGAACUCCAAGCCUCUGGUGGGCCGCUUCAGUGUUGCCAGACAAGGUAAUGUCCUAAAUAGCCAUAUAGUGGGGU